AUGAACUAAGCAUGGCUGAGAAAAUGCAGGGUUAAUCUGCAAUGCUAAGGGAUUAAUUUAUUCCCAUUAUUUCUGUUAUUUCACUUUAUGCUCACUGUGUGCCUUUCUUGCAUUUGGUCUCUCCUUUAAAAAAAACCCACCACCUUGUAAAUUUUUCUAGUGACCCGGAAGACUCUUAAUUUUUUUUUGUUCUUUAAAGAAAAUAGUCUGCAGAAUAAUCUCCUCUUCUAGGCAAAUAAAUGUCAUCUUCAGAAUAAAACAUGCAUACACGAAGAAAUUCCAUUGAAGAGGGGAAAAAAAGCUUCCUUGGCUUGGGCCCCUUUCAGCAUGAUCUGAUAUGGAGUAUUAUGUUAUCCUUAGCUGAUCUGUUAUUAUCUUCCUCCUCCUGAGCCACGUGCCAGUAACCACAUGCGUGUGAGCAGCUGAAACUGUCCUUUGAACUCUGCACUGGCAGACUGACAGCGUGGGCAAGUGGACAGCAGGCUGGAGUUGAGUGCAGUACCUGUCUCAGUGGCUGACCAGCUCUGUAACCUCAGGCCUCUACCACUCUGGCUGGAUGUCCCAGCUUGUUUGGAGUCUGCUCAAGGAAUCUCCAUGAGGAAUUGUUGCUCCUGUGAGCUGAGCAUGUGAAUCCCUGGUGGCCAGAAGGUGCCUUUCAUGUGCAAACUUUGGGCCCAAGAAGUUUUAUGCUGAACUCUCAAACAUAUCCUGUGCAAAUUUUUUGAAAUAUUGAGUGAAGCAUGUUCAUCUUUCAUUAACUGGAGUAAAGUGCCCAGGAGUGGGACCAGUCACAGUGGAAGCCAAAAGGGAGAUUUCAGUAGAUCAGAUGGGAAAUCACUGGAUGCCCUCAGAACUGUACAAAAAGGAAGAUCCAAAACAAGCAAAUCAUCACCAACCUCCAAGGAGUCAAGGAGACGUGCUGGUGGAUAGCUGGUGUCUCUCCUCCUUCGUGUCCUCGCAAGGGAUCCUGGACUGGGCACUUGGAACACACAUCUUGAUGCCUGCUGAUGGCCUGGCUGCUUGGACAUGGUAACAGAUGGUCAUUGUGACGUGAACGUUAUUCCAAUAUCCACAGAGGAGGAAAAAGGACCAGCGUGAUCCAAACUUACA